CUCAAACCGGCCGGAGCCAAGAAUAGGUUCGUUUCUGGAUACUGAGGCCCAAAAAAAAUUACAUUUUUUUUUUUAAUUUUGAUGAUCUGAAAAUCUAUCGAGACAUAAACUCCCAGACCGACAUUGCCCUACUACAGGCAGAUUUUAACUCGAUACAGACUUGGUGCGCGGUAAACGGGAUGCUUCUGAAUGCCAAUAAAUGUUUCCAUAUAACAUUUACGCGAAAGAAACACAAAAUAACAUCAAUGUACACUCUUAACGGAACUCCUCUUCAACAGGUCAACGAAAUACGAGACCUAGGCGUUACACUCAGCAGUGACCUUUCAUUUACCACGCACAUCAAUAAUAUUAUAAAAAAGGCAACGAAAAUGGUCGGCUUUAUCAAAAGAAUCGGUAAAGAAUUCAAGAGCACAUGUUCAUUAAAAAUACUCUAUAACACGUUAGUGCGCAGUGUCUUAGAAUACGCUUCUCCAGCCUGGAACCCUACUUAUGCUGUGCACAUUGACCGUAUAGAGAGAAUUCAAAAAGCAUUUACGCGAUUUCUAAGGUUCAAAGAUAAACAGUGUCCAUUUAGAGCUGGUUACACGCAACGUCUGCGUUACUUUAAACUAGAUCCACUUAAAAAUCGGAGAAUAUUUCACGAUCUCUCUACUCUAUACAAAAUCGUAAAUGGCGUUUUGUC